CCCUAGCCCUGAUGGCAGCGGCAUCCUUUUGCAAAUUAUGCGAUGGAAAAAGCUUUGGGUUUUUGCAAAAGAUACAGCGGACAGCAGGUUCCCGG
rnacentral:sRNA from 1 species